rnacentral:rRNA from 1 species
UGUACCUACGGGAGGCAGCAGUGGGGAUUAUUGGGCAAUGGGCGCAAGCCUGACCCAGCAACGCCGCGUGAAGGAAGAAGGCUUUCGGGUUGUAAACUUUUUUUAAGAGGGAAGAGCAGAAGACGGUACCUCUUGAAUAAGCCACGGCUAACUACGUGCCAGCAGCCGCGGUAAUCCGUAGGGGGCAAGCGUUAUCCGGAUUUACUGGGUGUAAAGGGGGCGCAGACGGCGAUGCAAGC